rnacentral:rRNA from 1 species
AGUGAACGCUGGCGGUAGGCCUAACACAUGCAAGUCGAACGGCAGCACAGUAAGAGCUUGCUCUUACGGGUGGCGAGUGGCGGACGGGUGAGGAAUACAUCGGAAUCUACUUUUUCGUGGGGGAUAACGUAGGGAAACUUACGCUAAUACCGCAUACGACCUACGGGUGAAAGCAGGGGAUCUUCGGACCUUGCGCGAUUGAAUGAGCCGAUGUCGGAUUAGCUAGUUGGCGGGGUAAAGGCCCACCAAGGCGACGAUCCGUAGCUGGUCUGAGAGGAUGGGUCGGCAAACUGGAAAUGAGGCAACGGCCAGACUGCCAAGGGAGGGAGGCGGUGGGGAGUAUUGGCGAAGGGGGGAAGGCUGAAUCAGGCAGUCCCGCGGGGUGGAGGAGGGCCUCCGGGUGGUAAAGCCCUUUUGUGGGGAAGAAAAAGCGGCGGGUUAUUACCCGCUGUUCUGACGGUACCCAAAGAAUAAGCACCGGCUAACUUCGUG